AUUGAACGCUGGCGGCAGGCCUAACACAUGCAAGUCGAACGGUGAAAGCGGAGCUUGCUCCGCUGGAUCAGUGGCGAACGGGUGAGUAACACGUGGGCAACCUGCCCCUCACUUCGGGAUAACUCCGGGAAACCGGGGCUAAUACCGGAUAUGACCUCCUUGGGCAUCCUUGGAGGUGGAAAGUUUUUCGGUGAGGGAUGGGCCCGCGGCCUAUCAGCUUGUUGGUGAGGUAGUGGCUCACCAAGGCGACGACGGGUAGCCGGCCUGAGAGGGCGACCGGCCACACUGGGACUGGGACACGGCCCAGACUCCUACGGGAGGCAGCAGUGGGGAAUAUUGCGCAAUGGGCGAAAGCCUGACGCAGCAACGCCGCGUGCGGGAUGACGGCCUUCGGGUUGUAAACCGCUUUCAGCAGGGAAGAAGCCGCAAGGUGACGGUACCUGCAGAAGAAGCACCGGCUAACUACGUGCCAGCAGCAGCCGCAG
rnacentral:rRNA from 1 species